UACGUAGGGGCUAGCGUUAUCCGGAAUUACUGGGCGUAAAGGGUGCGUAGGUGGUUUCUUAAGUCAGAGGUAAAAGGCUACGGCUCAACCGUAGUAAGCCUUUGAAACUGGGAAACUUGAGUGCAGGAGAGGAGAGUGGAAUUCCUAGUGUAGCGGUGAAAUGCGUAGAUAUUAGGAGGAACACCAGUUGCGAAGGCGGCUCUCUGGACUGUAACUGACACUGAGGCACGAAAGCGUGGGGAGCAAACAGGAUUAGAUACCCUGGUAGUCCCUGAGCGGG
rnacentral:rRNA from 1 species